UUCGGAGAAGGAUUUCCACUCAAAUCAAGAAGAUGGCUCCUGUACAGCAAGAUUCCCUUGAAGUGCAACUUGCACAAGGACUUGCAGGCAAUGAACCAGGGACUCGAGAUAAAACCUUUGCGACUCUACGUAAAUUCGUCCGUUUGCAAUUGCCAUAUUUGAAAGAAUCUUUAACACAAGAUGAUUUUACAAAGAUAUGGAAAGGAAUUCAUUACCGUUUGUGGAUGCAAGACAAACCUCUUAUGCAAGAAAAACUUGUCAACGAAGUCUGUGAACUGCUUCUUCACUUUCCAACUGAAGAAUAUGCCAUGAUGUACAUAAAAGCUUUCUUUGAGGCAGAAGCUCGUGAGUGGAAUGGAAUAGACCAACACAGACUGGAUAAAUUCAUGAUGCUUAUCCGAGAGUUUGUAAAUUCAACAUUUAUGUUUCUGUCCAAGUCAGGCUGGAAAUUAGAUCUCAUAAAGCAACUGAAUGUUAUCAUGGAAGAGAGUGUAUUCAAUGUAGGAAAGGCUAUGCAACCUACAAGUCUACAGUUGCAUCUAAUUGAAGUUUACUUUUUAGAGUUGAAGAAAGUUGUCAAUGAACAGCUCACCCCUGAUACUGCUAUCCAUUUGUUUACUGCAUUUGUAAAUGUUUUUCCUGUUCUCAAAAACACUGUUGUUGUGGCCAGCAUCCUUAAAUUACUCAAUAAACUAAUCUUUAAUGAGAAAUAUCCUGAGGAUGAAAAGGGUCGGAAAAGAUAUGUCUUAAAUGGCUGUGAAGAACGAGAUGCAACAGAUUUUGAAAAUCCAGUGACGCUCACAAUCGAUUUGGAAAAGUUUUCAACCCUUCUCAUGGAUAGGGCCAGUAGUGAAAAAGGUACAUUUAAACGACGGAAGCAGUUAUAUAAUCUGAUCAAGCGAAUAAAAGAUUUAGAAUAUAAAAAGCCUUCUUCCAAAAGUGUGAAGAAAAGUAAAAGUAAACAUAAAAAAGGCAAUAUUGAAGAAGUGAAUAUUGAAGAGGCAGCUCGGAGAUAUUUGGAGUUUAAUGAGAAACUGCAAAAAGAAAUUCCAUCACAGAAGCAAUGUAAGAAACUUGAAAUACGACGUUUAAAGAAGGAACGAGCCCAGGAAAAAUGUAAUGGAGAGCAAAAGAAGAAAAAAGACAGAGUGGCAGAUGAGGAAGAAGUGGAUGAAGAGACUAUGGAGGAGGAGGAGAAAGACAUAGAGAAUGCCGAGGAGGGGGAAGAAGAGGAUGGAGAGAGUACAGAAGAGGGAGAAGAAGAUGGAGAAAGUAUGGAAGAAGAUAAUGAGGACAUUGGCUGUGAGUUUAUAAGUUUUGAAGCUGAUGAAGUUGAAGAUGAUGAUUAUGAUUCUGAAGAAGAAGAGGAGGAAGAUAUGUGGGAUGUUGAAGAAGAAGAAGAAGAAGGUACAAGUGACGAAGAAGAGGAUGGAGAAAAUGUGUAUGAUAAUGAUGAUGAAGAAGAGGAGGAAGAAUUUGAUGAUGAUGAGUCUUUGGGUCUUGGAAAAGAUGGAAUGAUAGGCAGUGAUGAAAUAGAUUCUGUCUAUAUAAAUAGAGAACCAGAUGAUAAUGAUGACAAUGAUUAUGAUGACGAAAAUGAAGAAGAGGAUGGUAGUGAUGAUGGUUUAGAAUUUGAUGUUGAAGAGGCAUUCCUGAAAAUGGAGGAGGAGGAGGAGAGUGAAGAGGAAAGUAAAAGCAUAGAAGGCGAUGAAGUUGGUUGUUAUAUUGUAGAUGUUCAAGCAUCCAACAACAACAACAACAGCAGCAGUGGUAAUGAAGAGGUUAAGAACUCCCAACAACAGCAGCUUGAAGCCCAGGCUGGCCCAUCACGGAAGCCUAAGAAACAUACUGACAGUAGUGCUGAUGGUAAACCCUCGUCAGGUAAAUGUAAGCGAAAAAAUGAAGAGCUGGAUGAUGAAAUGAUAGAAAAAAAGAUGAAGAUGAUGAUAGAGAUGAUAAGCAAAACGGUAGCAGCAGGCAAGAGAAAGAAAAAGCGAAAGAAGGUAAAAACACCCUCUGACAGCACUGAUAAUUCGUCUCAGUCAAACUCUAGUUGGUUUACCUUGGUGGAUUUUGAAAAAGAUGAUGAGAAAAGAGAGGACAUCUGUGGUUCAGUUGACCAGACAGUUAGGAAAGAGACGGUGAGAAAGAAAAAUAAGAAGCAAAAUGGAGAGGCGACAAUAGCAAAUAAAAAGGAUAAAAAGAACAAGAAGAAUAAGAAGGCGAAGCAACAUAAUAUAAACUCAAAACGGACAUUUCCAUUACCAACUGGACUGAAGACUUCUCCAGAUUCGAACGUUGUUUAUGACCAGCUGAAAGAUACUGUCAAUACCAAGCAGAUGCGGCAGACUGUAGUUGCAGAUAGAAAGAUAAAACACAAGCUAAAUCGUUAUUUUGAUAUGGUUGCUAAAAAUAAUCUCUUAAAUGAAGUGUCAUCUACUGCUGUUAAUAAUAAUGAGGACAAUAAGAAAGAGCCUGCUCUUUUAAAUGAUAAUGAGAACAACAAAAAAGGACCUAAUAAUAAGAGCAAUAAAAAUAAGAAGAAGAAGCACAAUAACAACAUUGGUAAUGGUAGCAGCAAUACUAAGGUUGAAAAUGUGAACCCUGCCAAAGCAGCUAAACCACCACAAAUGGCAGAAAACCUUAAAAGCUUUUGUGAAUCACCACCAGCAUUUUUCCAGAAUGCUGUUUCAAAAGUUAAAAUGUCUGCAAUAAGAAAGAAAAAUAUCUAAGUGAUGCUGGUUUACAAGACAGAAAGUCAGUCAGUUUUGACAUGAAUCAAAACAAAGCAUUUCUGCCAGAGACCCC
rnacentral:misc_RNA from 1 species